GAUCAAGCUACAAAGAGCACAUAAUGGAUGCCUUGGUGCCAAUAGGCGAUGAAGGACGUGGCUAACUGCGAUAAGCCUCGGAGAGCGGUAAACACGCUGUGACCCGGGG
rnacentral:rRNA from 1 species